rnacentral:RNase_P_RNA from 1 species
CGAGGUGGCCGGGCGGUCGCGUCGGCACCGGUUCACGCCGGUGUCGCCGAGGAAAGUCCGGGCUCCUCAGGGCAGGGCGGUGGGUAACACCCACCCGGGGCGACCCGCGGGACAGUGCCACAGAAAACAGACCGCCAGUACCGGUCACGGCGCUGGUAAGGGUGAAACGGUGCGGUAAGAGCGCACCAGCGCCCAGGGUGACCUGGGCGGCUCGGUAAACCCCGCCCGGAGCAAGGUCAGAAAGGCCCGCGGCCGUAACCGGUCGUGGGCCGCGCAGGCGUUCGAGGGCUGCCCGCCCGAGUCUGCGGGUAGACCGCUGGAGGCUGCCGGCAACGGCAGCCCGAGAGAGAUGGCCGCCACCGGUGAGCCGCAAGGCGAUCCGGCUACAGGACCCGGCUUACAAGCCACCUCGUCCG